AAGUCGUAACAAGGUUUCCGUAGGUGAACCUGCGGAAGGAUCAUUAUUAAGAUCUAUUCUUUAUGUUUGUGCACCGAGGUUUAGCCGGGGCUAUCCUCACUUUUUUAUCAUAAUUUUUAAACUACUUUAAAUAGUAAUAUACAACUUUUAGCAAUGGAUCUCUUGGCUCUCG
rnacentral:misc_RNA from 1 species